rnacentral:rRNA from 1 species
UGGGGAAUUUUGGACGAAUUGGGCGAAAGGCCUGAAUCCAGCAAUGCCGCGUGUGUGAAGAAGGCCUUCGGGUUGUAAAGCACUUUUGUCCGGAAAGAAAUCCUUGGCUCUAAUACAGUCGGGGGAUGACGGUACCGGAAGAAUAAGCACCGGCUAACUACGUGCCAGCAGCCGCGGUAAUACGUAGGGUGCAAGCGUUAAUCGGAAUUACUGGGCGUAAAGCGUGCGCAGGCGGUUUGCUAAGACCGAUGUGAAAUCCCCGGGCUCAACCUGGGAACUGCAUUGGUGACUGGCAGGCUAGAGUAUGGCAGAGGGGGGUAGAAUUCCAUGUGUAGCAGUGAAAUGCGUAGAGAUGUGGAGGAAUACCGAUGGCGAAGGCAGCCCCUGGCAAGUACUGACGCUCAUGCACGAAAAGCGU